rnacentral:rRNA from 1 species
GUGUCAGCAGCCGCGGUAAUACAGAGGUCUCAAGCGUUGUUCGGAUUCAUUGGGCGUAAAGGGUGCGCAGGCGGUGGUGCAAGUUGGAUGUGAAAUCCCGGGGCUCAACCCUGGAACUGCAUUCAAUACUGCAUCGCUAGAGGACUGGAGAGGAGAUUGGAAUUCACGGUGUAGCAGUGAAAUGCGUAGAUAUCGUGAGGAAGACCAGUGGCGAAGGCGAAUCUCUGGACAGUUUCUGACGCUCAUGCACGAAGGCCAGGGGAGCAAACGGGAUUAGAUACCCCGGUAGUCCUGGCAGUAAACGGUGCACGUUUAGUAUGGGAGGAUUCGACCCCUUCCGUGCUGGAGCUAACGCGUUAAACGUGCCGCCUGGGGAGUACGGUCGCAAGAUUAAA